rnacentral:rRNA from 1 species
UACGAAGGGGGCUAGCGUUGCUCGGAAUCACUGGGCGUAAAGGGCGCGUAGGCGGCCAGAUUAGUCAGGCGUGAAAGCCCUGGGCUCAACCUGGGGACUGCGCUUGAGACGGUAUGGCUUGAGGGUGGAAGAGGCUCGCGGAAUUCCCAGUGUAGAGGUGAAAUUCGUAGAUAUUGGGAAGAACACCGGUGCGAAGGCGGCGAGCUCGUCG